CCGUUGUACACACCGCCCGUCACAUCACGAAAGUUGGCUGUACCAGAAAUCGGUGGGCUAACCCGCAAGGGACGCAGCCGCUUAAGGUAUGGUUAGUAAUUGGGGUG
rnacentral:rRNA from 1 species